rfam:Gossypium arboreum cultivar AKA8401 contig_20690_3, whole genome shotgun sequence.
UUGGGCGAGAGUAGUACUAGGAUGGGUGACCUCCUGGGAAAUCCUCGUGUUGCACCCC